UCCUUCCUCCAUACGCUUCCAUCCAAUCGGAUUUCAGCAACUCCACUCUACUCCGUCGCCGCCUUCUCGCGACGCCUCCUCCUCUACUCCGGCGACGGCGAGGCGGCAAUGCAUCCGCCUCCUCCGACGCCGCGUUCCUCGUUGGUUUUACAGGUUCAGGUUGGUGAAUGGGGAAUUCGCACAGCUGUAGUGUUGUUGCUUGAGCACUUCUCAGAAAAAGCAUCCCAACAAAGCUUCGAGCCGAUUACAAGACAGUGGGCACCAAGGUUGCCUAUUGCUUUAUGAUCAGCAAUGCAGAGAAUGUGCUCAAGCUAAGAUGAACUUUCUGAACCUUGCAGAAGAGAAUGCUGGACGAACCAUUGAUCAGUCCAUAAUUACCCAUGAAUGCUAUAGGCAGAGCAAAGUAACUCGUGUUGGUGCUGUGUCAAUGGUCUGUCUGGUAAGUUGCCUAUCACACAAAUUGAUUCUCAUUUAUCAACAAUGCAAAUUCUACA